rnacentral:rRNA from 1 species
UGGGGAAUCUUGGACAAUGGGCGAAAGCCUGAUCCAGCCAUGCCGCGUGAGUGACGAAGGUCUUCGGAUUGUAAAGCUCUUUUGGCGGGGACGAUAAUGACGGUACCCGCAGAAUAAGCCCCGGCUAACUUCGUGCCAGCAGCAGCGGUAAUACGAGUGCCCCGAGCGUUAUCCGGAAUCAUUGGGCGUAAAGGGUGUGUAGGUGGCAUUGUUAGUCACACGUUAAACCCUGGGGCUUAACCCCAGAUCUGCGUGUGAUACGGCAAAGCUAGAGGAUGGCAGGGAUGUAUGGAACUCAUGGAGUAGGGGUGAAAUCCGUUGAUAUCAUGGGGAACACCGAAAGCGAAGGCAGUACAUUGGGCCACUCCUGACACUGAAACACGAAAGCGUGGGUAGCGAAUGGGAUUAGAUACCCGCGUAGUCCCUGAGCGGGCUGGCAAGGCGCAU